ACACAUGCAAGUCGAGCGGUAACAGAGAGUAGCUUGCUACUUUGCUGACGAGCGGCGGACGGGUGAGUAAUGCUUGGGAACAUGCCUUGAGGUGGGGGACAACAGUUGGAAACGACUGCUAAUACCGCAUAAUGUCUACGGACCAAAGGGGGCUUCGGCUCUCGCCUUUAGAUUGGCCCAAGUGGGAUUAGCUAGUUGGUGAGGUAAUGGCUCACCAAGGCGACGAUCCCUAGCUGGUUUGAGAGGAUGAUCAGCCACACUGGGACUGAGACACGGCCCAGACUCCUACGGGAGGCAGCAGUGGGGAAUAUUGCACAAUGGGCGCAAGCCUGAUGCAGCCAUGCCGCGUGUGUGAAGAAGGCCUUCGGGUUGUAAAGCACUUUCAGUCAGGAGGAAAGGUUAGUAGUUAAUACCUGCUAGCUGUGACGUUACUGACAGAAGAAGCACCGGCUAACUCCGUGCCAGCAGCCGCGGUAAUACGGAGGGUGCGAGCGUUAAUCGGAAUUACUGGGCGUAAAGCGUACGCAGGCGGUUUGUUAAGCGAGAUGUGAAAGCCCUGGGCUCAACCUGGGAACUGCAUUUCGAACUGGCAAACUAGAGUGUGAUAGAGGGUGGUAGAAUUUCAGGUGUAGCGGUGAAAUGCGUAGAGAUCUGAAGGAAUACCGAUGGCGAAGGCAGCCACCUGGGUCAACACUGACGCUCAUGUACGAAAGCGUGGGGAGCAAACGGGAUUAGAUACCCCGGUAGUCCACGCCGUAAACGAUGUCUACUAGAAGCUCGGGUCCUCGGACUUGU
rnacentral:rRNA from 1 species